UCCUUCAGGUCAAAGCCUACGGUCCCACCACAUCCGCUCUGGGGAGGACACAGGGCCACCGCAGUCCCCUGCCAUUACCUAAACACGCUCGCUGGGAAUGACCCUCUGGGGAUGCCACCGGAGGAGGGGACGCAGAGUCUCACUCCCACCUGACCAGCGAGCAGCCAGGACGAGCUCCGGGAUCUCACAAGCUUCUUCCCGCCCAGCCGCCCGCGCCGUCCUGGUCACCCCUGCAUCCCCUCCAUGCAGGGCUGAGCUCCAUGCUGCUGGGGGUGCUGGGACUUGCCUGCUCUCCUUGGCUGGCUGGGCUGCGGGGUGGCAGAGCACAGGGUGGGUGUGGGGUGUAGUCUGUCACUCCAAUCACACCGUGUCACCCCGUGUCACCCCGUGUUCAGGCCACUGAUCCCAACGUGGAGAGAAAGCCCCAGACAGGCCCUGUAGUUCCUGAGAAAGGUUCUUGCCCUGGUAUAAAUCACUGUGUGGUUAGGGUGCUCGUCUAACGUGGCGGAAGGCCGAAGCAGGAUGCCCACCACCUCCUGCUUCUUCCUCAGCCCUAAUUGCAUGCACAGAGAAUUCCAGUCGGUCCCUCACACAUCAUCAGUGUCCACCCCAUGCACCACUUCAAUCAGAGGUCAUAGAACCGUCUGCCUCUCUGCAUCUGGUCGGAGGAGACAGCCCAGCCGCCGUGGGCUGUGUGUUCCUUCCUCGUCCUCAACUCAGUAAACCUGCUCACUUUGUACUUCUGCUUCUCAUUACACCAGAAUGCUCUAACGUUCUGGCCAUUUCAGAAGUCACACAGCUCUGCAGGACAUCCCCACUGGCGUGGCUGCGGAGAACAUCUCGGAAGGUGGACACCGUGGUCCCGGCUCCCUGGGUCGUUUUUCAGUAACUUGUGGUUGGCUCAACCUGCUUGACACCACUGAUCUUAAAAUUACCCAGGCCUGCGGGAGCAUCCAAUGACCCAGAGGCUGAUGUUUUGAGGGACAAAGCUUCCACCUCCGUGUACACCACAGAGCUUAUGCAGAGGCGUGAGGUGGACGCCACGAUCCCACGCACCAGGCACAUGCACAUGUUCGGCGGGACAAACAGUGGACAGGCCAGCUGACUCCAGAGGAGCUCUGCCUGGAGCAGGAGCACUCAGCAGCUGCACUUGUCUGAGACCUGAAGGAUGGUGUCCUCCAGAAGACACACUGAAGUCCUAAGCCCCAGCCCCUGUGGAUGUGGCGUCCUCGGGAAUCAGUACGGCAGACACAGUCAUUUACAGUGAGAUCCUACUGCAGUAAGGCAGGCCGGAGGCUAAGAUGAUUGGUGACCUUGAAGGAGGAAAGAGACACCCACGGGAGGCCCCUGGAGGAUGGAGGCGGCCAGUGAGCAAUGCAUCUGCAAGCCAGGGUGACAGUUAACGCGACUGUCAGCUUAAUGGGCUUGGGGCUGCCUAGGCAGUUAUUAGUAAAGCGCGCUUCCGGGUGAGGCUGGUUGGUCACCAAGUGUGGCUUGGGCCCAGAUCUGAGCCCUGGUUCCUUUCUCUGCUUUUCAGCUGCUGCCAUGAGGCUAACCGUGCCCCUACCCCAUGAUGCUUCUGCCCUGGGGCAGCUGACCAUGGACUGAGCCAAACCCUUCAUCCUUGAAGCUGUGUGUGUCACAUGUGUGGUCCCAGUGAUGAAAAGCUGAUUCACACGCAAGGAAUGUCACAGCUUGGUAGCAGGACUAGGGCCUGGAGGAAGCAGGAAAACAUCAUUCUGUGGGAUUUCAACCUGCGUCUGGCCUCUGCUAACACCUUGAUGUUGGACUUCUGGCUUAAAGAUGGCAAGAUCAUGAACUCCACUGGUUUACGUCACUGUUUGUGAAACUUUCUGUGGCAUCCACAGGGAGCUUGAAGUGACCCAAAGGAACCAGCCAUGCAAAGACUGGGGAGAAGGUCAUACCCAGGGGACAGUGUGUGCAGUGGCUUUGGGGAAAUAAAACCAGGUUCAGGUGGGGCUCGGGACACAGGUCCAGUGAUGUGAGGUCACUUUGCUCAGCCUUUAUUCAUCAAACUUCGCUCCAAAUGACUUGAUCGAUCCCGAAGCUCAAGGCCCCCUCUCCAGCCUUCUCGAGAACACCACGCUCCUCAGAGGUUCCAGCUGCAUCCCUUCCACGCGUCUGUGUCACCUUUCCAUUGUGGGGCAAAGUACGUGACACGCACAAGAAGAAAGGCUUGUUUAUGCUCGUGGUUUCGAGGGUCCAGUCCACAGUCCACUGACUCUGAGCAGAAACAGCACGGUCUGGCCCCACCACGAAGACUGAGAAAUGGGAAAUGUCUGAUUGCUUGUUAAAGACUUGGUUGUUUCAAGAUGGGAGAGCCAGCCCUCGACGCACAGAGAAGGACUUGGAAACGGUAGUCGCAGGGUAAACAAAUGUGAUCGCCACCAGGAAGCAGACCUGGUGAAAAGAGACGCUGGGAACUGGAAGAGACGCAGCAGUGAUUCUUCCCGGUGUCCAAGUCCAUCGCCCUCGUUAACAAUGUCAGGCCAUGAAGCCCCGGGCCCGGAGAGCGGCCCUGGUCUCCAUCCGCCCUGUGAAAUGACUCGGGUGACUUUGCGUGUGGGUCACAUGCAUUUUCCACCCCGUUUCUUCUGAGAAGGGGCUGGCAGUGCGGGCUCCAAGGUGGAGUCCCCGGUCCUGAGUAGGUGAUGACGACAGGGUCACUGAGCCCCGGUGCAUACUCCUGGGUAUGGAUAUUUACUGUGGGUCCAUUUAUUAAAACUCCAUGGUAUGGACGGUGGCUGCAGGAGGUGACCAGGUCACGGAUACAUCGCUUCAAAGCCAGGUUCCUGGAGCCCGGUGGCAACAACUUCGUCCAUCUGGAAAGAUGACCAUGUGCUCAAACCCAAGUCCCUGGUCAGCACGGAACUGGGAAGAACAGGAAUGCGGGGUGCAUGUGUGCAGGAGCAGGCGACACAGUGCACUUUUGACACAGCAAGCUGGGAAAUCAGUGUCCGAGAAAUGAUAACUGUCACAUCCUGGAGGAAACCACCGGCGGGGAAACAG